AUACGGAGGGUGCAAGCGUUAAACGGAAUUACUGGGCGUAAAGCGUACGUAGGCGGUUCGUUAAGUUAGAUGUGAAAGCCCCGGGCUUAACCUGGGAACUGCAUUUAAAACUGGCGAACUAGAGUUGAGUAGAGGGGAGUGGAAUUUCAGGUGUAGCGGUGAAAUGCGUAGAGAUCUGAAGGAACACCAGUGGCGAAGGCGACUCCCUGGACUCGAACUGACGCUGAGGUACGAAAGCGUGGGUAGCAAACGGGAUUAGAAACCCCAGUAGUCC
rnacentral:rRNA from 1 species